rnacentral:rRNA from 1 species
GCAAGUCGAACGGAAACGACAAGAGCUUGCUCUUGGGCGUCGAGUGGCGGACGGGUGAGUAACGCGUAGGAAUCUGCCUGAUAGUGGGGGAUAGCCCAGAGAAAUCUGGAUUAAUACCGCAUAAUAUCCAUGGAUUAAAGUGGAGGAUCUUCGGACUUCACGCUAUCAGAUGAGCCUGCGUAAGAUUAGCUAGUUGGUGAGGUAAAAGCUCACCAAGGCGACGAUCUUUAGCUGGUCUGAGAGGAUGAUC